AUUGCAUAUUUGCUUGUGACAAAAGGGGAUACUUGUUAAAACAUUACAGACUUAAACAUGGGAGCUAUGCAAGAAGCCAGCCUUUUCCAUGCCUGUAUCAAGAAUGUUUAUGUAGUUUUAAGUCUUUCAAUAGCCUUAAAAUACACUUAUCCCGUUUUCAUACAGCAACUGAUAAACAAUUGGAGGGAAAAUUUGAAGCUAAGUUUCACUGUCAACUUUGUGAUUUUCUUGAACCCUGUCACAUUAAUGAAUAUUUUGCCCACCUUCGGCGUAGACAUCUCAAAGACCACCAAAAAGUUCAAUGUCCAUUUCAAGGCUGUAGCUUUGAAAGUAGUGUAUAUUCCACGUUCAGUGCACACAAAAGUAAGCAUCACCAAGAUCAAAAUGAGAGAAUGUUUAAACCAGAGUUAAUAGUUAGAAUAGAGAGUAAUGAGAACGAAACUGAUGACAGUGUAAUUGACACUCAGGAUUGUGCUGUGCAGGAGAUCCUUCCAGGUGAAUUUGGCCAAGAUGAAUUCAAUGCAGAAGCAAGCGAAACACAAUCUCAAGAUUUAGGACAACAAUUGGAACAUAAUUUAGCAGCUCUUUUUUUAAAAAUGCAAACCAUCCUUCACAUGCCAGAGAACUCUGUUCAGGAAGUAAUUCAACAGCUUUGCCAAAUAGUUCAGUUGUCCCUGCCACGUUUGCACAAGAAUGUGAAGGCUGUUCUUCAGAAACACUUUGGAGAUGUAGAUGAGUCAGUUUUGAAAGAGGUGGUUGAGACUGUGGCAGAGUGUGACAUAUUGUCCAAAUCAUGUGGAAAAAAUGGAUGUCUUGCAACUAGUAAAAGGAGAGCAUCAUAUGUAAUGCGUAACUUUCCUCUGGUAAUGCCUAUAGAGUUUGUUGUUGAGAAAGGAAGAAAAACAGUAGCGUAUGUUCCGCUCUUACAGAUGCUACAAAAACUGUUAAACAAGAAAGACAUUUUGGAUAAAGCUAUGUCAAAACAAGAACAUAAAACACAUGAAUAUAUGACAUGUAGUGAUGGCUCGAACUUUAGAGAGAAUGCACUUCUUAGUUGUGAUGAAUUCACAAUCGUUCUGGGUCUGUACAUUGAUGAUCUCGAAGUGGCUAAUCCUUUAGGAACAUCUAAAAGAAAACAUAAGAUGUGUGCACUUUAUUGGGUUAUUGUAAACUUGCAUGGAAAAUACAGAUCCACACUAAACUCAAUUCAGUUGGCUCUUCUGUGCAACACUGAAACAGUUAAAGAGUGUGGUUAUGAAAGAGUUCUGUACCCACUUCUUUGUGAUUUAGCAACUCUCGAACAGCAUGGGGUCUACAUUGAACAUCUUGGUAGAAGUGUUAAAGGGACAGUACUCUUUGUGUCAGCAGAUAACCUCGGUGCCCAUUCUCUUGCAGGAUUUUAUGAAAGCUUCAUUGUGGACAAGUUUUGCAGAUUUUGCAUGGCAUCCAGAAUUGACACACAACACCAAGAGAUGGCUUCUAAAGAAACCAUGACUUUGCGAGUUAUUCUUACAGAAGCUGAUAUCAGAAAAGUAAAGCUGACAUCAAAGCCAGACUCAGUUGAAGAAUUAGUUAGUUGUUUAAAAAACACUCUGAGACUGGACUACAAUUUUACUUUACAGUUUCAAGAUCCCGAGUUUGAUAACGAACUUUGCAAUCUGACCGUUUUGUCAGAGCUCCCUCAGAAGCCAACUGUGAAAAUCAUUCCGGUGAUUGAACUUGUGCCACUCUCUUCAGGUGAAAUGGAGACAUCAAGUGAUGUGUUGAGUGAUGCUACAAGUACUGCAGACACAGUAUUGACCUCGGAAUUACCCCAGGAAAAAAGAAUGCCAUGGCCUGAUAUCUUUUUGACUCCAAAAUUCUCUGUCGAUGUUGAAUUUAGGCUGCGUCAAGCAAAUUUAAUCUACUUGAAAGAUGGAACGCACCUAAAAGUGACAAAGGAAUUGAAACAUGACAUUCUUCAGAAACUUGCAGAGACCAUAUAUUCCUGCAAAGCAUACCCAACUACUGAGGAUCUACGAACUGUUGCAAAGGCUCUGGUCAAUACUCACCCCUGCCUUCAAGAACCAAGAUCUCCUUCUGGAUACUGUGGAUGGACAAACAGUUUGAAAGACAAAAUGGGAAAUUACAGAUCCAAAAUGAGGAGCCUUGGACACACAGACGUCAUGGUUAAUGCUGGGAAAAGAGGAAGAUACUCUACGAGCAGUGAUCCACCUAACAAGAACAUUAAGAAGCCAAGGAAAGGGGAGGUCAACUACUUACCUGACCUCCCAGAUGGGCAGGAUGCUUCCAGUCUUGAAAUGCUCAGACAGCAGUUGGUGGAUGAAAUGAAGAGAAAAAACCCUGAUGCCAUUUUUAUUAAUCAGAAGAUGGACAUGACUCUGUCUUUGAGGAGAAAGGAUGUUGUGAUCAACAAGCCUCCUGUAAGCCAAAUACUUCAACGUUGGCCAGCACUUUUUAGAGAAAGUCAGGUGUAUCAAGAAUUCAGCCGGGUGGUUGGGAAGAACCUUAAGCAAGAAUUUUAUGGGUCUCUUGAUCGUCACUGUCCACAACUGAUUCAGAUCUUCAGGUCAAAGAGAGGUCUCGCUGGGCAGAUUUUGAGCGAUCUUCUGCAACAAGCCAAGACCUCUGAUAUCGCAGACAUGCGAUGUGUUGCCAUGAGAGGGCUUCCAGUACUUCUUGGUGAUGACCAAACUGAGUUCUUCAAAGCAUGCUUUGCUUCUGAUGACGGAGACUCGUACCAACAUGUGCCAGUUGGAAUCCUCAGCUUAGAAAAUGAAGAUGUGGCUCUGCAACCCCUGCCCCUCCGUCUCCACCCAUCCUCGGUGGGAAUCAUCUUGGAGGGGAACGUUGUAAUGGACAAUUUAGACAACAUACCCCAGGCCAUGUGUCUGCUUUUUGGUUUAACUUAUGCACUGCACCUAGACUACCCAAAGUGCAUGGGCAACACGUUUCUUUUCAUUCAGCAAGUUUUGCUAGGUUUAGGCAAGAAGGAGUUGAAGGGCAAGAUUCUGGCUGUUACAAAUCAGCUAACCAUGUAAACAGGUUGUGGGAUUGUGAUGUCUCAGAUGAAGGCUGUGCUGCUAUGACUUCAGCUCUGAGAUCAAACCCCUCACACCUGAGAGAACUGGAUCUGUCCUGUAAUAAUCUAGGACACUCAGGAAAGAAGCUACUGUCUGAUCUUAAGGAUGAUGAACAUUACAAACUACAUAUGCUGAUGCUCUGUUGAAUAUCUGUGUGUGAUGAAGACUCCAGUAUUCCUGCAUCACCAUGAUGGAGAAUAGAGAACAUGUUUAUUAACACAUCACUCAUUUAGUUCUAACACAUUAAACAGACUCAGAGACGUGAAAAGUGUGUGUUCAUUGUGUACAGUGAAUCCGACUAAACACAAUUCUACAUUGAGUUUAU